rnacentral:ncRNA from 1 species
AGAUGAGAGAAACACCCCGCCCGCAGGGGACUGCGGACGACGCCUGGACGAAGCCUCCCCAGUUUCGUCUCGGUUGUGCCUUCGCGCACACAGCCGGAGCUUCUGGCUCCGGAAAUCCUCACCGAUCGGA